ACAGCGCGGAUCAGUCAGGCUCAACGUGGCGACAGGAUUUACCACCUCCCCCCUCCCCACACUCAGACACACCAAAGCGGCUCGACUCGUAAACGGUAACCCGCAUUUGAGGGCGGCCGUUCGGCCCCUCCUUCCCGCCCCGUGCUAGACGCGUGGUGCCGGAAUCAGGAGCAGCAAACCAGCCGGUGGAGAGAUUUAUCGGCUCGGGCAGCAUCCGUGGGGAGAUGUUCCUGCCUCUGGGUAGGAGUUGGAAGUCCGACCCCAUCGACCACGGAAGGGACAUUACCUCAGGGCUUGCAAAAUAAAAUGAUACAUAGAGAGACAUUAAAAGUCUGCAAACCGGGCGACUUACUUUAGCGAGGGAGAGGGCGAGGAGGACGGCGACAGCUACACAAUGGAUCAUUCUGGAGAAAGAAAGGAGCGAAGCCUUUAAUUCCUCAGAGAGCUGUAUGAGAACAUAAACCCGCUUCUGAAGUGACUCCCCUUUUAAUAGUGUGGGUCGGAUCUCUGCAAUUGGGACUACACGCUGAUUCUCUUAUGUGUAAAGUCACAGCUUUGCUUAAGAUUCUGAGAAGAUUCUGCACAGCAGACCGAACAGGAAUUGUACGCACGCUCUUUCCCGCUGUCCUACAUCAGACUGAUCCGCCGAGUUAAAGAUCUGAGCACAUUCAUCUGGUCCAACAACCCCGUGGAUUUGUGAGACGCCCGUGAAAUUUGAGAUGCUGACUGACCUGCUGAGUGUUUCCAGCAUGUUAUUUUGGAUUUAUAACAUCUAUCUUUUGUUUCUUUUCCUUAUCUGGUCUAAGCCUCCACAACUGUCCUGACGGCCUCGUCAGGGAGAUGUGUAGCACCUUGCAAAUUAGAAAAUUGGUUGAUAAUUUUAUUCACAAACAAGAGAAAAUCUACAGAUGCUGGAAAUCCAAGCAACACACACAUCUUGUUAUUUUAUCUAUCUAUCUAUCUAUCUAUCUAUCUAUCUAUCUAUCUAUCUAUCUAUCUAUCUAUCUAUCUAUCUAUCUAUCUAUCUAUCCAUCUAUCUAUUUAGAGUAUCAGGCCCUUCCUGGUUCAGAAACAAUUAUUAUCCCUCUACAAUCAGGAAGGAGGUACAGGAGCCUCAGGACUCAUACCACCAGGUUCAGGAACAGGCUCUUGAACUAUGGGGAUAACUUCACUCACCCCAUCACUGAACUGUUCCCACAACCUACAGACUCACUUUCAAGGACUCUUCAUCUCAUGUUCUCAAUAUUUAUUGCCUACUUAUUAUUAUUUAUAUUUUUUUUCUCAGCUGAAGCUGGUAAAACCUAGGGUACGGGCUUAGCCAAGCACACUCCUCUGUAAAUUACUAGGAACUUUCAGACUAUUCUAGUGGUGUUUAAUAUUGUGGCUUUUUGAAGAGUUGUGAAGCUCUAAUUGUUACUGUGUAGCCCUAAUUGUUUAUUGCUAUUGUGUAGUGACUUUGGGAUGAUACCAGUUAUAGAUAUUACUAUUGGGACAAUUUAUACUGUAUUCAUGUUCCAUAGUCUUUUAAUUUCCUCUUUUAAUUCAAUGUAUUUCUGGUGUUUUUCAUUUAUUGAUUUAUGUAAGUUCUGUGUGUUUGACUUGACUAUAUCUAUUAAAUAGGUUGUUCUUGCUUGUUUAUCCUGUAUUAUUAUAUCCAGAUUGUCCAAUCUGUAAUAACCGAUCAGUCAUAAUAUAAUUUGUGGUAUUCUGACUCUAAAACUGGAUCAAGCUUGUAUUUAUUGUAAUUAUUAUUGUUUCUUUUUUCUUUCUUUUUGCAUUUGCGCAGUUUGUUUUUUGUACAUUGGUAAUUUGUCAGCCCUGUUGUGUGUGGUCUUUAAUUGAUUCUAUAGUGUUUCUUGUAUUUACUAUGAAUGCUCACAAGAAAAUGAAUCUUGGAGUUGUGUAUAGUGAUAUAUAUGUACUUUGAUAAUAAAUUUACUUUGAACUUUGAA